rnacentral:rRNA from 1 species
AGUGAACGCUGGCGGUAGGCCUAACACAUGCAAGUCGAACGGCAGCACAGUAAGAGCUUGCUCUUACGGGUGGCGAGUGGCGGACGGGUGAGGAAUACAUCGGAAUCUACUUUUUCGUGGGGGAUAACGUAGGGAAACUUACGCUAAUACCGCAUACGACCUACGGGUGAAAGCAGGGGAUCUUCGGACCUUGCGCGAUUGAAUGAGCCGAUGUCGGAUUAGCUAGUUGGCGGGGUAAAGGCCCACCAAGGCGACGAUCCGUAGCUGGUCUGAGAGGAUGAUCAGCCACACUGGAACUGAGACACGGUCCAGACUCCUACGGGAGGCAGCAGUGGGGAAUAUUUGACAAUGGGCGAAAGCCUGAUCCAGCCAUACCGCGUGAGUGAAGAAGGCCUUCGGAUUGUAAAGCCCUUUUGUUGGGAAAGAAAAGCAGCAGGUUAAUACCCCGCUGUUCUGACGGUACCCAAAGAAUAAGCACCGGCUAACUUCGUG